UACGUAGGGUGCAAGCGUUAAUUGGAAUUACUGGGCGUAAAGCGUGCGCAGGCGGUUGUGCAAGACAGAUGUGAAAUCCCCGGGCUUAACCUGGGAACUGCAUUUGUGACUGCACGGCUAGAGUACGGCAGAGGGGGAUGGAAUUCCGCGUGUAGCAGUGAAAUGCGUAGAUAUGCGGAGGAACACCAAUGGCGAAGGCAGUCCCCUGGGCCUGUACUGACGCUCAUGCACGAAAGCGUGGGGAGCAAACAGG
rnacentral:rRNA from 1 species